rnacentral:rRNA from 1 species
GAUGAACGCUAGCGACAGGCUUAACACAUGCAAGUCGAGGGGCAGCAUGAACUUAGCUUGCUAAGUUUGAUGGCGACCGGCGCACGGGUGAGUAACGCGUAUGCAACUUACCUAUCAGAGGAGAAUAGCUCAUCGAAAGAUGAAUUAAUGCUCCAUAAAACAGGGUCCCGCAUGGGAAUAUUUGUUAAAGAUUCAUCGCUGAUAGAUAGGCAUGCGUUCCAUUAGGCAGUUGGCGGGGUAACGGCCCACCAAACCGACGAUGGAUAGGGGUUCUGAGAGGAAGGUCCCCCACAUUGGUACUGAGACACGGACUAAA